CAUAUGUAGAUUGUAUUAGGUGCUUAUCAUUUGAGCUUAACAUCUGCAUGUAAUCAUCUUGGUCAAUGAUUAAUAUUAUCUAAAUGUGUCAAUACGAUUUGUUAAAAUUGCUUUGGAAAUUCCCAACAAAUGUUGAUAUAAAAGGCCGUUAGAACAUCAAAUAUUUACUUUUAUUAAUUUCGUGAUUGUAACUGCAAAACUUUUGCUUUUACUGUCCUUGUCAUUGCACGUCGACAAGGUUCAGGUAAGAGUUAUUUUGUAACUUAUUCACAUUAGUUUGUCUAUAUUCAAUUUGAUUACAUCGUCCAUAAUUUGGCAAAGUGCGAUAUUUCAAAAUAGUUCUUUAAUAGAAGCCCACCCACAAGAUCAUGAUGUAUUUAUCAGUUCUUUUGUUCCGACGUUGGAAAGUUCCGGGUGGAAAAAAAAAUUAACAAGCCAAAAAGUUCCAGAGGAACUUAUUAACUAGUUAUUUUGUUCUUCCUCUAGUUUAAAAGUUCCACCGGAACAAAGUGACUAGUUGAAAAGUUCCAACGGAAAAUAUCAACUAGUUAAAAAGUUCCUUUUUGUCAAAUUAGUCAAAACCGAAACUUACAAUCUUGCCCAAAAGUUCCAUCGGAACUUAUCAUCUAGUCACACAGUUCCAUUUGAAGAAUUCGUGCAAAGUAAAAUAACGGAAUAACUUCUAAUUUAUUGGUAAACAUUAAUCUGAAAUUAAUAUUUUUAAAAGUACCCACAUGAGAAGGGGGUAUUAUUUCCUUCAACUAGCUACAUUGUUCCGGGACUUUUCAACUAGCUACUUUUUUCCGGAACUUUUCGACUGCACUCGGAAUAAAACAACUAGUUGAAAAGUUCCGCCAGAACAAAGUAACUGACGGGACAUAGUGACUAAUACAUACCUGUCUAUUUUGUCGUAAAAUUCCCCAAAAAUUUUCAACCUUUUGUUUUACUUCAUUCGAUUGAUAAACUUUCACUCUGCAUUCUGUGUUGUGUUCAUAACACGAAUUCUAAAUCCGUUCACACUAGGUGUAUUGGAACUUCUGGGAAAGAAAGAGAGGAAUAUAACAUGUAUCAGCGGAAUACUUAAACUCACAUUAAGAAAACAUACUAACAACGAUACAACAGAAUACAAAACAAAACGUACAUAGUUUUUUAGACUAAACACCACGGAAGUCCAUCAAAUGGGAUGAUGUCCAGUAACCGAGAAUUCCUUUCUGCGGAAAUAAAAAAAAAUAAACAAUUGAUAUUAUGAGUCCAUCCCCAAUUUUUUAGAAUGAAUGAAAUAGACUCGACCAAAAUGUUGAUAACCUUAAGUCAGAUACCAGAAGUUUUACAACGUACACAGCUACUUUUGCAUAGGUACUACUUAUGUACUUAAAAUUUGUAGUACUUGAAAUGUACUUGUCAUAUUUAUAGUCGCCGUCACGUAAAAUUGGCACCAUGUUUUUUGUCAAAAUUUUCUUAAAUAUCGACCGCGUUUACUAAAGAUCAUGUUUUUCAAUUAGCGGAAUCAAAUAUCAUUCCAAAAAUCAACUACUGUCCUACCUUUUAUUGUGUUUGCACUGUAUAAUCCUGACCUUCACAUAAUCCAAGAUUAAUUUGAAUGGUGGAAUCCGACAUUGUUAUUACCGGAAGUGUUGCCGUGGAGUUCCACGUGCUCUCCAUUUUCUUGUGUCUCUCGGAGCUUUUCGUCAUCUUUACGUAAAAAGCGCGGGAAAUUGUAUCAUCAAUGACAAUGAUAUUACCGGAGAGUAACGAAUGUUAUGGAAUAAGGGACCCUCAUAGAAACCAAGAUGGCGGUUAUACAAUGUAAAUAAUCUUGAAAAAUGUGAAGGUCAGGAUUAUACAGUGGAAACACAAUAAAAGGUAGGACAGUAGUGGAUAUUUGGACAGGAUUUCACUUCCGCUAAAAGAAUAACACUAUCUUGAGUAAACGCGGCUGAUAUUUAAAAAAAAAUUAACAAAAAACAUGGUGCCAAUUUUACGUGACGGCGACUAUAGUACUAUUUCUCUACUGUAAAAUUAUUGUAAUAAAUAUGUACUUUUAUUUUCGAGUACUUGACUGUACUUCAAAUAUUGGUACAAAAUUAAUACCAACAAUGAUCACAGUAUUACAUGUUUGAACAUCAUGACUAUAAGAUAAUUAAAAUAGACAAACUGUCAAAAUGCUGAAAAUAUAUCUGUGUAACCUGUAUCUGUAGUACUUAAAUUUCAAGUAAUAUCAAGAACUGUAAAAUUCAGGUACCUAAAUAUUACAAUAAUUUUAAAGUAACACAAUAGUACUGAAUACUAAAAGUAGAUUUCCAGUACUACACAUGUUUGGUACAGAAAUAGUACCUAUUUUAAAGUAGAUGUGUACACUAUACGUUUAUCAAGUCAUGUUAUCUGUUAACCGGUAUUUGCAUAGUUCAUUGUAUGAUAGAGAUUAUGUCAUGUGUCACUUAACCUAUCAAUAUAUAGUUUAAUAUAGUGCGGGAAGCUUACAUAUUCAAAGUUCUAUUGUUUAUUCAUUCAUUACUUUUAUAACUCUGAUAUAUCAUCCUAUACUUGUCUAUUUUAAGAAAUCUAAUUAAAUAUAUACAAUUGUAUUAUUGUAACUAAGUCGUUCGGCAUUAUGCAUGUUAGUUUAUAAGUAUUUAUUUCCGUAUUUUUCUAUUUGUUGCAGGUUUGGGAUAUAGAAGAUAUGUGCAGUAUAACCGUUCCAUGAGUACGACGGUAGACACGGCGGCUGUGUGAUUUGUUCUAUGAAGAAAGGAAAACAAAUUUGGAAGAAAGCCUUUGCAGAUAAAACAUGUGUCUUAAACAUACUCAAUUUUUACAAGUUGUCUUUGCUUGGGUCAAUAUGGCAUUCCAGUUUUUCGAUUGUUUGACAUAUUGUGAAUUUAGAUUCAAUUGGAAUAACCAAACAAUAUGAAAGUAUAUUCUUUGACAUCACGUUGAUUUUACUUUUAUAUAAUUAAAAUGAUUGGAAUAUCUUAAUGUUCAAUUGCUUUCGAAAAAAUCAUAGUUAGCAUUAAUAUAAACAGUUGGUUCAAAAAUUAGUUUUUUUUGUCCUUUCAGUCAUUAUUAAAUGUCUCCAUUCCAGGCUGAUUUAAACAAUUUGCAUCCUAAUUUUGUUAAAAGAUUGUCAAACCUAUUAAUAGACAUGUUCACCAUAACCCGAUACCGAAACCGAAACCGAUACCGAAACCGAAUUCGAUACCGAAACUAAAACUAGUAAUUAGGUAAAUGCUAAAUGUUUAUAAUGUUUAUCUACAAAACCCUUUUACUCAAUAAUAGUGUUUGAAAUUUUAAUACACUCGAUUCAGUAUAACUUCAAUAAAUCAAUAAACUUGAAUCUAUCAAAAUACUUAGUUAAAUUUAACCAUAAUUAUAUACACUAAUGCAUGUUAUAUACAAUUUAAGAUGUCGAUACUCUUUAUCUUUGAUAUACGUUUAUCAUAAAGCAGAUUUCGUCGUAGAGACAGAGAGAGCUGCGCAAAGUUUUACAAUUGGUACAAUAUCGUUCCGACUAUGUCUUUAAAGAGAACCUAUUAUGUUAUAAAUUUUCGUUCGCCUUAUGGAUUGUUCUAAAUAAACUUUUCUUGCACAUAACUUUUCAUUGACAAAGUUGUGUUGAUCGUGGAUUAUUGCAUUUUGAUAGCGUAGCUGCCUUACAGUAUAUGGUGUUGCAACAUGAUGUUCAAAUGGAUACAUGGUAUCGCCAAGUAUCCAUCAAGUUGUAAUUUAUCGUGUUAUAAUUAUGACAUUGGAAACCAGAUUUGAUGUAUCUUAUUUUCCUUUAUGUGUCCAUUAUGAUUUAUGUAUGACUAUAGUUUAUAUGAAUAUUUCCACUAUAAAACACUGCCUGGUUUCUGGUUAGGCGAUUUAUUUUAUGGGAGGCAACAUAAAAACAAAAGAAAAGGAGAUGGAGGAUGAAGAUGAAGGUGACAGAAAUGAAACCCAGCACACCAAGAUGGACCUCCAAACGUUUUUCCGAAAAAAAUUAGAAAAGGAAAUGGAGAGAGAAAACAUAAAAAUGUUUAACACACUGUUGGAAGUAGUUUUUUUUUAAAGCACACAAGCUUUUUGGAUCCGCUACUUAUGAUAUAAAGUACAUGUAACAGUAGUCACACAAUUAAACUAAACGAAAAAUGUUUGCCUUUAUAAUUACUCAUUUUGGUUUCAUUUGAUAAUUACAGGUUAUCUUUAUAGUUUCAUAUAUACAGUCGGAACGAUAUUACAUAUAUUCUAAAACUAUGUACAGUACCUUCCCUUCAGCAAAACUAGCUUCAUGAUUAAUGGACAUCAUAAAUAAGUUUGUAACAUGCAUUAGUUUUAUUUAAUACUCGUUGAAUUUAACUUUGCGUUUUUAAUAUAUUUGUGUUAAUUUUUUAAUUGAAAUAAUAUUCCAUCUAGUUUAUUCAAAUUUCAAAAUAUAUAAUGAAGUAAAACGGGUUGAGUUAGUUAAACAUUAUAAAAUUUUACCAUUUUCAGCACCACUUUGUUUGGUUUCGGGAUCGGUAUCGGCUUAUGGUGAACAUGUCUAAUGAUUUGAGAGGUACAUAAUAACAAUAUGUUAACGUGGGUCCUAUUCUUGUCGUGGUUUAUACGAGUAACAUCUCGCACAUUCGAAAAUUGAUGCAACAUUUAAUUCUCAUUGUUUUGUGAUUUAGAUUUCUUAAUAAAUUACGACAAGACGAACGCUUUGAAAAAUAAUCUGAUAAAGUGUUUUUAGCAUUUCAACAUAAAUAGGUAGUAGGUUGGUACCUAUUAAAACGUUCAAUUUCACUGCAUUCGUUUGCACCUGUCCUAAUAGUUAUCAAAGAUACAAGGCGUAUAAUAUUUUACGCAAGACGCGUGUUUAGUCUAUAUAAGACUCCUCAGCGACGCUCAGAUAAAAAAAAGUUUGAAAGCCAAUACAAGUACAAAGUUGAAGAGUAUAAAAUGAUGUACAUUUGGGAAAGAUUUUAAGUUUGUGUCCCUUUUGAAUGAUAAAUAAUGAAAAGUAUUACAAAUGAUUAUA
rnacentral:lncRNA from 1 species